AUGAAUGAGAAAGCAAGCAUUUUCUGCCCCUAAUUACCUUUACUACCGUCCGUAAAUAACACUAAAUAGGCUAAUUUAGAGAAUCUCUUUAAGCAUGUCUAGUUGAAGUAACCAGAGUAAUUAAAAGAAUAAUCACUUUGACUAAUCUCCUUUUAUAUUGACAAAACUCAUGAAGCUUCUCCCCACGUUUUGCAAUAAAGCAUUCACCCAUUUAUUAUUAUUUUUUUCUUUUGAAAGUUCGCUUUCUAUUAAAAUUCAUUUAUUAUCUUACGGUACAGUUUAUACUUUAUACACACAAAAAAAAGAAACACUCACGAGGUCAUGAUAUGCAUUUUAUUGAUGUGUAUUACUAUUGUUUUUUUUUAAAUAAAAUUUUAUGUUACUUUUGUUAAUGUGUCAAGUAUUCGGCAUAACACAUUAGUUAAAAACAAAACAUAAAGAUGGGGGAAUUAAGAAGGUUUAUCUUCAAUAAUUAUUUUGAUAAAAUUUAUCUUACACUUAAAACUGAAUAACAUUUGUUAAUUAUAUUUUAGCGGCUACAAUUAAACUAAAGAUGGGGGAAUU
rnacentral:lncRNA from 1 species